CUGCAAUUGUGAAUGGAGUUCCGUACUGGCAGUAUUCUCAGCGUUUUGAGGCGGGGAAGCCUGUGUUUAAGUUUGAAGUUGGGAGUGGAGAGUUCAGGGAGGUGCCUAAACCUGAUGUUGUUGGCGUAUCUGACAAACAUGAAUUCCUCAUUGUCAAUUGGAAGGAGCGGCUCUCUGCACUGGUGACUCAGUCCUAUUUUUCGCGUACUGUGGUGGAUGUGUAUUGUUUUGACGAGGGGAGUGGUGUUUGGAGUAAGAUGCACAAUAUUGGACCGAAUAUGAGUAAUGAGUAUAAGCUGCUCGGAUGUUUUAAGUAUGGUGGUGAGAUUGUGACUGAUAUAAAUGGGAAUUAUGUGUGCUAUGAUUACAGAACAGGUGAAACUAAGGGUCUUGGCAACCGCAAGGGGCGACUGCUGACAGGCUUUAGUCAUAAGGAUAGCCUCGUCUUUCUUGAAGGAAUGAAGAGGUAUCGUAAUGCAACACCAUAUCUGCUUGAAAAGGGCAAGAACUCCUGAACCUGGUUUUGUUUUCGACUUGUCUUCUAUAUAGUUAGUUCUCAACUCAUAUACCUGAGAUGUUUAUUUUCAACAACAUAGCUUUUUCUGAAAUUUGUAUCUGUUGAGUUUAAUUCUUGUUAUUUUUGAGUUCACUUCUUUCAAUAAUAUAUCAUCCGACAUACAGACAUCAGGAACACACAUGUUAUCUUAAACCAAACAUGAACCAGUCUUCUCCCUUUAAAAGUAAAAAACGCGGUAUAUAUGCAGAAAAAGGUGGGAAGAAGAUCUAUAUUAAAUAAACUAGACAUAUUGCACUCUUCACCCUUCUGUAAAUGCAGGUAAAUACAGACAUCAUAUCCUUUUGUAAAAGCUUUUGCUGUAUUGACUAUAAAGGUUAUUAAUCACGCAAUAGAAUCUACAGACAACUAGGCUUACGUAGAAGUAUUACAAAAAUUACCUACCAGAUACACAUAAUAUAUGACUUCUAAUCUGCUAUCUUGGUCCUGAAAGCCUUACUGCUGAAAAAUCAGCACAACUAUUGAGAUUUAAUGGCUCUAAAGAAGUACUGUGCUCACUCGUUGAUUUGAAGGAACUCAAAUAGAUAUGUGAGUUCAUCUGCUGAGAAGAUGGAGGUGGAGGAACAGGAGAUACUUGUUCAAGCAUCUGGACUACUUUUGUCAUUGAUGGUCUAAGGUGCAUGUCAUAUUGUAAACACCGAAGACCUACCUUAAUUGCUAUGGACACCCUUUCAUCAUCUUCUGCAAUUUGUAGUUUCACAUCAAGAAUGUCCUUCAGUUUACCUUGCUCCAUCAUCUUAAAAGCGUAUGAAGGAAAAUGGCAUUUUUCUUCUGUUUCAGAUGUAUCAUAGUUUUUUCUACCACCAAUGAUCUCAAGCAAUACCAUUCCAUAACUAUAGACAUCACACUUGUCUGAUAUUGCAUAGUUUGUGAUCCACUCUGGUGCAAGGUAACCCCUUGUGCCCCGUAGUGUUGUGAAAACAUGGCUCUGCUCUCGGCUUAUUAGCUUAGCAAGACCAAAGUCCGAAACCUUUGCAAGAAAGUUGUCAUCUAGGAGCACAUUUUCAGGCUUAGUGUCACAGUGCACAUUUUUACAUCACAGUCUUCCUGGAGAUAAGCUAAUCCGUUGGCUGUGCCUAAAGCAAUAUAUAUCAUAUCUUGUGUCCCAAUCCAAGAAAUCAACUUUGUUUUCCUUAAGGAUCCAUCUUUCCAGUGAACCAUUUGCCUUGUAUACAUAAACAAGGAGCCUGUGGGCACCUUCUGUGCAAAAGCCUUUCAGCCUCACCAGGUGGAGAUGAUGAAUGCUACCAAUACUACUAACUUCAGCUUGGAAUUCUGUCUUUCCUUGGCCAAGGCCUUCUAAUUGUUUCACAGCCAAUUGGGUUCCAGCAGGUAGAACACCUUCAUAAACUGAGCCAAAACCUCCUUUCCCUAGUUUCGUAGUGAAGUUGUUGGUAGCAAUUUGAAGAUCUUUGUGACUAAAACGUAUUGGCAUCCUGGAUAUGUUUUUCAAGAAAUUAUCCUCUUCUACUUCUUUAGGGAACUCCAACAAGGCACUUUUCUGUUUCUGGUGGUAACAGAAACACGACAAACAUGAAAUACUUGUAAGUUGACCAUGAUUUGUUGAUUUAUAAUGUCCAGGAAUGCAAUAUGUUUUUAGUUGACGUUCUGCCCUAACAAUCUAUUUUCCAGUUUUUGUCAUGCUGGAUACUCAGGAAUUGCUUAAUUGAAGACUCAUUUUCACCAUACAUUGGCAGAGAUGAAAAGCUUAAAUACCUUGUACAUUGAUUUUUGCAGCUGUUCCAUUUUAUAAAUUCCGUUCAAUUUGAUCUGUUCUAACCUAUGCUGAUCCUUAUGGACACAGUUAUAAAUAUACCUAUCAAGACUUAUAUUCUGACAUUAAAUAAUCUAGUAACUCGACGAUGUUGCUAAAAGGCAAAAGCUCUACACUGGCAUUAUGUUAGGGGCAACAAUAUUUGAUUUAAACCCCUAUAAGCAGCGUAAUGCAUAAAGUUGAUUACAAAAUGUGGUGUAUGCUAUUGUAAACAUAAAUACUUUAUUAGGGUCAUACAAACUUCUCUCCUUCGCAGAGGUUUGAGCUUUAUCAGGUUGUCUGGACCUAUCCCAGAUUCAGUUCAGCCUUGGAGUCCAGCCUAAAUUUUUUGUAAGUGGACAUACAUAAGUUUGUACUUUGCCAAUCUAGAAAUCUAUAUCUCCGACUCGAGCAGAAUUAUUUACCCAUUAAUUUUUUUUGGCAAUUUUCUUCCAACUUGUGCAUGGUUUUCCUGUAAUUUGUUUGUUUAAACGUAAGGAACUCUAUAAUAUACUAAUUUUUUUGGCUUUAGGUAUCUGAAUAGCAACUUACAGGCACAUCAAAGCUGCAACUUGUAACUUUGACCAUGCAAAUAAGAUUUGUGAAGGAGGAUUUGGACCAGUUUGUAAGGUAAAUUGCUUUCAAAUCGAGUCUACUCUUGCUUCAUUACUACACACACGUAGGACUAUAUGAAAGGCUUGGCCUAGAUGCUUUGGGCAAGUACAGGGGCGUGUGAGUGUUUAAGUUUAUGUAAUUAAACAAAACCAGAGAAAGAGUUUCUUAAAAGAACUACUUCAUUUUCUUGCCUUCUAUAUAUUUAUAUAAAGGAGGAUCUCAGGAGGCUCUGAGAUCUCUCCCUUACAUUUUUCUAAUUUUUAGGUUUUUCUUAAGUUAGUGACUGACUUUUUGUUCUCCUAAAUUAUUGAUUAUUACAGUUACUUUUUGCUUCUUUGUUUUCACACGACCCAAAGGGUUGUUCAUGUUAUCCAGCGUUUAUCUUCACAUUCACACGAUCGAGAAGGUUCAUGGUGAGGUUGUUAAAGGCAUCAAUCAAUAGCCUCGAUAGAUUCGUCCUCCGUCAAGCUCGCGGUACUUCCCCUGAGGUCUGCAUCAAUGGCCUUCUACAUGUUUGCGAAAUGUCACAAUGAAUGAAAUAACACAAAUGUGGGCUAGGUAAAAAAAAUGAUUUAAGAGGAAGCAGUCUGGAGGAGCAAGAAGAGGUCAAAAAAAAAUGAUUCAAGAAGACACUGUUCAUGGGUUUCUCAGUAUGUAUCUCGUGCUCAAUUUUUGUGUUUACUACUCUUAUUUACUGAGAAUGAUUGCUUAGUUGUGCUUAAAUUCGUAGUUUUCUAUUUAGGACUUUUUUGCCUUUGGAUAAUAAGAUGAACAAAAUAUUUAUGUUCAAUCAGGUUCUGCUUCUACUUAAUUUCAGCCUCUCAUUUGGAAGAAAAAAAUAAUAGGAAUCUGUUCUAUGAUUUUAGUUUUUUUGUGAUUAGUGUGUAGAUGGUCGUAAAGCUGUCAACUAGACAGCCAAACCUGGAGAGUUGGAUGAAGGUCCUCAAAGCAAUUGCUUCAGAGAAUGGCAUUAGUCUACAAGUUGAAGAGGAAUUCUCCAUGACAAUAGAGGUAAGCAAGCAAUAUUAGAAAUUAGUUGCUUAGCAUGUAAAGCAUUUGUUAUGUAAUCAAGGAGAUAACUAUUUUGUAUGUGUUUGGCGAAUGAUGAUUACAAUUGACAAAGGUCAUUUUUGAAAAUUAAGCAUCUUAUUGUUAUGUUUAUGCUGAUGCGAGAGUAUUGUGCAUGCUGUCGUUACCUGAUUAUACAACUUUUAUCUGAUAAUAUGUUCUGCAAUUUGAUAUUAUCCGGUCUUGUAUGCAGCAAAUUAGGGGAAGCUUUUAAAGUAGAUAGCAUACUGAUGAAUGUUGCCUAUCUGUUCUUCCUGAUAGACAUUAAGAAAUACUCAACUACUGAAUUUUGAUAAAUAAUGCAAUCGAUUUCAGCUGAGCACCUUCAAGAGUCAAAAAUCCAUGAAUUUUACAGAGAUGACCUUGGUAGUUUUUCAAAACUGAUAUAGACUAUUAUCACUAGGAAUCAAAAUAACUGGAGCCAAGAAAAAAUCGAAAUUAGUUGUUAGGAAAUACUAAUCCAGUGACUCUUUUUUUGUAUUCUACUGGGAAUAAUAGCAAUGGCAUGGUCAUCGUGGACUACCCAAGCACCAAGAAGCUCCCAGCGUGUAGAUAUGGCUUAAUAACCUUAUAUCUAAUUUGAUAUGGAGGUUGUUUUAUGUUAUUUAUUUUAUAUGAACGCUGGCUUGAUUAAUAAAGAAGCAGCGCAGUAGUACUUGUCUGCAAUCUGCAUGCGCCAUUGCAUGUUCUGGUGUUUUUGGAUUGAGUCUCUGCAUUUGUAUCUGUCACAAUCGACAAUAUAUCUAUGUUUGUCUGCUGUAGCGGCCUCCCUACCUUAAGUUUUCAUUACUGUCUUGGCUUCCUUAUUCAUCGUUCUUCGUGCUUCACUGUGAGUGUAAUAAGUACUAAUAGAAUCACUACAUUCAUAUGAAAAAAUUAGACAGAAAAGAGUCGUUAACAGCAAGAUUGUAAGUUGGUCGGAUUAACGCAGUUGGGAGGGAAUAUGUGACCUUUGUGGAGCGACCAUUUAUUGUCUGAGCAAGACUCAUGGGCGGAUCUAGGACAGGUUUCUUAGAGGACACCAAACAAAUUUUCGAAAAAAAACUUUUAUAUAUUUUUAAAUUUUCUGGGGACACUUAUAUAAUUUUCUAAAAUUUAGAAUGGUAAAAUUAUGUCAAAAAUUAUUUAGGGGGACAGGUGUCGUGGGCAACCAACCGUGCGAAAAGUCCUAAUUAUCAUUUCUUAGAGAGACACAUGGUCUCUCCAUUUAGUAAAUGCUGUAAAUCUGAUUUUUCAUUCAUGUUUUUAGCUGAGGUUGAGAAUCAUGGUUUAUUUUAGGAAUGUAGAUGUCAAAUAAUAAGAAUUACAAGAAUAUAUUGUUUGGUGUUAAUUUGUUUUUUAUAUUUUUUUAUUGCCAAGGAGUUAAUAUACAUGUCAUUCUCCGACAACAUUGCAGGUAUUGUGGCUUCUAGAUUGAAUGUUCCAGAACAUGGCAGAUGCCUCAGGUAUGAUACACAAGUUAUAUUUAUGUUAAUGCUAUUUCUCUGUUUUUUUUUUCUUUUUUUUAACGUAGGAACCCGCAGCCGCUACCCUUCGGGUGCGCACUGGGUAAACCCACGAGCUCACGCAAUAGCCUGCAAACUACGUGAACCAAGGUAAACCGCACAUAAGCGCGACAGGCUCUGGUCCAGGAGGCAUAAUCACAAAUUCUGCUCCCUUCGGGAGUCGAACCUGUGACCAAGAGGAUACAUAUCCCCUCUUUAACCAGCUGGACCAACCCUUGCGGGCCCUCUUUCCAUUAUGUGGCUUCAAAUCUUCCUCUCUAGCCCUUAAUUUCUUUAAUGAAUCCAUAAUCCGAUUAGAAAAUCUUCAAAUAUUGAGACUUCUGACAUAUUUUCAGUUUGUACAGACCAAGAUUUUACUAUUGCUCAUGGCACUCUGAUAUAUUUUCAUGAUUUGUCUAGGACUGCAAUAACUUCCCGCCAUAUUUAUUUUUUGAACUCCAGGUAAAUAUCUCGAUGAAAAAAGAGAGUCGUGGGGAUAAUGUACAGCUGAGCUCCUCAGCGCAAAGGAUAGUGGAAGGGCGUAGCGCUAUACCGGUUAUAAGCUCAGAUAAUAUCGACUUUGAAGAUGUCUUUGGAGAUCCUCCAAGGAGGUUUCAUAUCAUGAAACAACAAGAUACAGUUCAGAUGGAACAAUAGAUGGUAUAGAAACUGCGAGGUCUCGUAGUUUGAAAGUAAGUCAGAGUAAGUCAAUGAGAAAAGUACAUGGCCAAAGGACAAAUCUCAGAUAAUGCACUCGGAGUGACGGCAAGUCCACUUCUCCUGAUGAAGAUUUCACCUCGAUCGUUGAAGAUGUGAAGAUGUCAAAGAUCUACUUUGCCGAAAUUCCUGUUAAUGUAAGUUGCUAACUCCUUAAAAUUAUAUUUUUACAAAUUUAUAUUAAGUAUAUCGCAUUAUAUUUAUAUAUAAUAUUAUAAAAUAAUAUUUUUAUUAAUUAUAAAUUCAAUUGUAGUAUUUCUUAAAUAUAAAUUUUACAUCUACUUUCAUGUUGUGUACUCAAAAAUGAAAACACCAAUGCUUAAUUAAAUUUUUGUUUGGCGUUUUCCCAUAAAAUUUUUGGGUCUACUAACAGCCAUCAGGCACCAGGUGAGCUACUUCCAAUAAUGUCUCACUCAAAAUCAUUUUAUGUUCUCGCUGUCUCGAAACCUGGAAGGUGUUAAACAGGCCAAAGGAUUUCUUUUGGCUGCUACAUUUACCUGAGCCUUCCGUUUUGUCUUGUAUAGACAUCAUAAGACAAAUUAAGAGUGCACUUUAAAGUUCUUCUGGUCACAAUAACAUGGAUGGUCUGCAAUGAAAUUAUAUCAGAGAUACCUCUUGGUUGGAGUAUUAAUAGGCCCAAAAUCUAUAAGGUGUAUGACUGUAUCAAAUGAAACAUCCACUGCAUUUCGAAGAUGCUGUGAUUUGAAAUAAUAUGCUUCAAAAUCAUAGUAUCCUGUCAAACUAAGACAAAUUGUUGAUUUUAUACUUUUACCGCUGAUCCAGAAGUCAUCAGGCAGGCGAAUAGGCUAAUACUUGUAAAGGUUGUCAGCGACCAAUUUCCUUUACUUUCAUUUCCGACUUAGAAUAGAAGUAGACUUCCUCACCUCCACUAAAUUAGUUAACAAUAGGUUCUAUUUUUUUGAGCGCAGGUUGAACUCAGGUACGAGAUUGAGAAUUCCAAGCUUUCUGUUACAUCGUGCAAGUGUAAUGUGUAUACUGGUGUAAUGUGGCUGAAGAGCACCAGGUUUUAGGACAGGGCAUCAGUCUACAAGUUGAACAGGAAUCCUCCAUGACAAUAGAGGUAAGCAAGCAAUAUUAUUUCAAAUAAAGAAAUAUAGGGGCUUAUAUUUGCAAUCAUAGAAGUACAAAUUUUUUGAGAUAUACAAGCUAAUCAGAUCCAUGUUAUGAAUGUGUAGAAUUUUUAAGCCAGAUCAAAUUUAAAAGAGAAUUGCUCAAUUUUACUUGAAAAAGGUUAAAAGCUUCUCUGAUUAUAUAUCAACUCAUUGUAACGAGGUACUAAGAAUUAUAUACCAAAUAGGAUCUCAUAAAUCAUGUCGGCCGGCUUCUUGGUGUAUCAAUAGCUAAAAAUCAAUUGACGACUGUUGUCUCUGUUGAGCGAUGAUCCUUGCACUCGGCACAGUCGGAUUAUUAAGGCCAACUUUCGUCCCUGCUUGAUUCUGAUGUUUAUUUUAGAAAGGUUAUUAUUAUUUCAAGGUGUUUCGCUAAUUGUUCAUCCUAUUUGCAAAUACGAGGAACGUACAUUGUAUUGUCAUUCUUUUGAAAGUAGAACAACAGUGGAGUAUAUAAAUUUAGUUCACCAAUCGAACAUUUUAUGUUAUGGGGUGCUUUUUUUUGCAUUAUUUCAUGGAUUAUGUUGGGAUGCAACGAAAAAUGAUAUUAUAUGAGCCAAUGAAUACGAAUCAAUUUACAAACCCAGACUCUAGUCUGAGUAAUCGAAUUUUAAUUAAAAUAAAAUGAUUAAUUAAAAAUUCCUAAUCUAAUUAUAUUAUGACUUAAUGAGCUUUUAGCCCUCGAAGUAUGGGUGAAAGUUCUGAUGUGGCCUCGAAGUUUAAAAACGUACCUUUCGACCCUCAAAGUAUCUUUGUCAUACUUUUUAGCCCUUUUUAAAAAUACCGGUAUAAAUCGGGGGAUAAACUUGACAAUUCAUAUUCGGGGUAAAGUUUGGGCGUACCUUUUAACCCUUAAAGUAUACAUCUCGUUCCUUUUAACUCCUAAAAAAUACAUUAAAAUCCAUUAGAUGUUCAUUUUAACCCUUAAUGUUUAAUGCUCCCCCGUUAAAAACCGGUAUACGCCAUAAGGGCUAAAAGGUACGACAAAGAUAUUUUGAGGGUCGAAAGUUACGUUUUUAAACUUCGAGGCUACAUCGGAACUUUCACCCAAACUUCAAGGGCUAAAAAGUCAUUUAGUCUUAUAUUAUUAAGUAUACUUAUUCAAUUCGAGCCUUUUAUUAAACUCUAAUAAACCCGUUGCGAACAAAUCCGAACCAAAAUAUAAAAUCCUUCAGUCCUCUCUGACCUCUGUACAAAAAGCAAACAGCGUACAAGUGAAUCUCACACAGAAUCACAUACUACUCUGCAACAACGUGUACUGACAUGGCCACCACACCGCCGCUUAAAAACCCCAGGCUACCGGAGAAUGAACCGACGUAUACAGAGCCACCAGAGCUACCUGAAGACAUUAUUUUUACGAAGAUAUUACCGCGGUUGCCUGCAAAAUCUGUUGGACGGUUUCGCUCAGUUUGUAAGGCAUGGAGAUCUCUAUUGUCUAAGACCAGUUUCACCAAAGACCAUCUCAACUGCACCACUCAGAACCCGAAUGACGAUAAUCUCAUCAUCAACAAAUUCAUCACAGAGUCGAACCGAAAAUACCACGAGAUAGAUGUGCUGUCAUUGUCAGAUUUAUCAGAAACUAAGUUAUUCGAUCUGUACGAAUAUGCACGUCAAUAUCCGCUAUUUAGAUUAAUCGGUUCGAUUCAUGGAAUUGUUUGUUUAUAUCUUAAAGUGGGAAUUCGAAAUCAGUUUGUUUUAUGGAAUCCAGUGAUUAAACAGGCUAAAGCAAUUGCAUCACCUGAACAUUCUAUUGGCCUUUGGGGAUUCUGUUGGGAUGAAGUGAAAGCUGAUUUUAAAGUAAUUGAAUGUAAAUACAAAAGUGAGCGCUUUAACUUGGCGAAGAGAACACAAUCUUAUAGUUUUGGCCGGGUGUAUGUUUAUUCGUGUAACACUAAUUCCUGGAAUUUGCAGGCUGAUGCCAGGAGUGGGCAGCCUGUUAUUCGGUUUUCUGAACAUUAUGAUGAGGAGCCUCACCCUGGGGUUCCGGCUGCAAUUGUGAAUGGAGUGCCGUACUGGCAGUAUUCUCAGCGUUUGAGGCGGAGAAGCCUGUAAUCAAGUUUGAAGUUGGGAGUGGAGAGUUCAGGGGGGUGCCUAAACCUGAUGUUGUUGGCGUAUCUGACAAACAUGAAUUCCUCAUUGUCAAUUGGAAGGAGCGUCUCUCUGCACUGGUGUCUCAGUCCUAUUUUUCGCGUACUGUGGUGGAUGUGUAUUGUUUUGACGAGGGGAGUGGUGUUUGGAGUAAGAUGCACAAUAUUGGACCGAAUAUGAGUAAUGAGUAUAAGCUGCUCGGAUGUUUUAAGUAUGGUUGUGAGAUUGUGAUCA
rnacentral:lncRNA from 1 species